AAAGACCACCGGAACGGAAAUUAAGAAACGGUUUCUGACGGACUGAUAUUGUAGUUGCUACUUCCAGUAGACUGAUGCAAUAGCCAGAUACAGACGUGCGCUCUCCAUUAUUGUUCAGUGUUGUGCGUUUAUGCAAACAAAUACCACAACGCAAUAACCUGUGUCAAAUACUGCCAUUUGAUCCAUCACAUCUUCAGAUGAUGUUGUAAUGGAUAUCACUGAUUACCUGAAAGUACUAUUAAAGAAAAGCUUGAAAGGA